rnacentral:rRNA from 1 species
UACGUAGGGUGCGAGCGUUGUCCGGAAUUAUUGGGCGUAAAGAGCUCGUAGGCGGUCUGUCGCGUCUGCUGUGAAAACCCGAGGCUCAACCUCGGGCCUGCAGUGGGUACGGGCAGACUAGAGUGUGGUAGGGGAGACUGGAAUUCCUGGUGUAGCGGUGAAAUGCGCAGAUAUCAGGAGGAACACCUGCGGUGUAGACGGCUUACUGGACCGUAACUGACGCUGAGGAGCGAAAGCGUGGGGAGCGAUCCGG